UGGGGAAUAUUGCACAAUGGGCGCAAGCCUGAUGCAGCAACGCCGCGUGCGGGAUGACGGCCUUCGGGUUGUAAACCGCUUUCAGUUCCGACGAAGCGCAAGUGACGGUAGGAACAGAAGAAGGACCGGCCAACUACGUGCCAGCAGCCGCGGUGAUACGUAGGGUCCGAGCGUUGUCCGGAAUUAUUGGGCGUAAAGGGCUUGUAGGCGGUUUGUUACGUCGGAAGUGAAAACUCAGGGCUCAACCCUGAGCCGGCUUCCGAUACGGGCAAACUAGAGGAAUGCAGGGGAGAAUGGAAUUCCUGGUGGAGCGGUGGAAUGCGCAGAUAUCAGGAGGAACACCGGUGGCGAAGGCGGUUCUCUGGGCAUUUCCUGACGCUGAGAAGCGAAAGCGUGGGGAGCAAACA
rnacentral:rRNA from 1 species